AUUGAACGCUGGCGGCAUGCCUUACACAUGCAAGUCGGAACGGCAGCGGACCUUCGGGUGCCGGCGAGUGGCGAACGGGUGAGUAAUAUAUCGGAACGGUACCUUUCAGUGGGGGAUAACGUAGCGAAAGUUACGCUAAUACCGCAUAUUCUGUGAGCAGGAAAGCAGGGGAUCGCAAGACCUUGCGCUGAUUGAGCGGCCGAUAUCAGAUUAGCUAGUUGGUGAGGUAAAGGCUCACCAAGGCGACGAUCUGUAGCGGGUCUGAGAGGAUGAUCCGCCACACUGGAACUGAGGACACGGUCCAGACUCC
rnacentral:rRNA from 1 species